GUCGAGAAUAAUUCACAAUGGGGGCAACCCUGAUGGUGCAACGCCGCGUGGAGGAUGAAGGUCUUCGGAUUGUAAACUCCUGUCAUCCGGGAGCAAGACCUGGCCGUGAAUAGCGGACAGGGUUGAUAGUACCGGAAGAGGAAGGGACGGCUAACUUCGUGCCAGCAGCCGCGGUAAUACGAAGGUCCCGAGCGUUGUUCGGAAUCACUGGGCGUAAAGGGAGCGUAGGCGGCGCGGUAAGUCAGAUGUGAAAUCCUAGGGCUCAACCCUGGAACCGCAUCCGAUAGUGCUGUGGUUGAGCAAUGGAGAGGUAGCCGGAAUUCUCGGUGUAGCAGUGAAAUGCGUAGAUAUCGAGAGGAACACUCGUGGCGAAAGCGGGCUACUGGACAUUUGCUGACGCUGAGGCUCGAAGGCCGGGGGAGCGAAAGGGAUUAGAAACCCGUGUAGUCC
rnacentral:rRNA from 1 species